rnacentral:tRNA from 1 species
UUUGGUUCAAGUCCCUCUAUCCCCA